CCUACGGGAGGCAGCAGUGGGGAAUAUUGGGCAAUGGAGGAAACUCUGACCCAGCGACGCCGCGUGCGGGAUGAAGGCCUUCGGGUUGUAAACCGCUUUCAGUAGGGAAGAAGCGAAAGUGACGGUACCUACAAAAGAAGCACCGGCUAACUAUGUGCCAGCAGCCGCGGUAAUACAUAGGGUGCAAGCGUUGUCCGGAAUUAUUGGGCGUAAAGAGCUCGUAGGUCGUUUGUUACGUCGGAUGUGAAAACCUGAGGCUCAACCUCAGGCCUGCAUUCGAUACGGGCAAACUAGAGUUUGGUAGGGGAGACUGGAAUUCCUGGUGUAGCGGUGGAAUGCGCAGAUAUCAGGAGGAACACCAAUGGCGAAGGCAGGUCUCUGGGCCAAUACUGACACUGAGGAGCGAAAGUCUGGGGAGCGAACAGGAUUAGAUACCCUGGUAGUCCAGACCGUAAACGGUGGGCACUAGUUGUGGGAACCUUCCACGGUUUCUGCGACGCAGCUAACGCAUUAAGUGCCCCGCCUGGGGAGUACGGUCGCAAGAUUAAAACUCAAAGGAAUUGACGG
rnacentral:rRNA from 1 species